CAAUAGCGUAUAUUAAUGUUGUUGCAGUUAAAAAGCUCGUAGUUGGAUUUCUGCGCCGCGCAGCUCGGUCCGCCGCAAUGCGGUGCGACUGUGGCUGGAGCGUCGCAUCCUUGUGGAGACCUUUGAUGCCAUUGAUUUGGUGUCUUAUGGGAACCGCAUCGUUUACUGUGAAAAAAUUAGAGUGUUCAAAGUAGGCAUACGCCGUGAAUACAUUAGCAUGGAAUAAUAAGAUAGGACUUUGGUUCUAUUUUGUUGGUCGGAGGCCAAGGUAAUGAUUAAUAGGGAUAGUUGGGGGUAUUCAUAUUUAAUUGUCAGAGGUGAAAUUCUUGGAUUUAUGAAAGAUGAACUUAUGCGAAAGCAUUUACCAAGGAUGUUUNCAUCAA
rnacentral:rRNA from 1 species